rnacentral:rRNA from 1 species
GAUCCUACGGGGGGCAGCAGUAGGGAAUCUUCCACAAUGGACGAAAGUCUGAUGGAGCAACGCCGCGUGGGUGAAGAAGGGUUUCGGCUCGUAAAGCUCUGUUGGUAGUGAAGAAAGAUAGAGGUAGUAACUGGCCUUUAUUUGACGGUAAUUACUUAGAAAGUCACGGCUAACUACGUGCCAGCAGCCGCGGCAAUACGUAGGUGGCAAGCGUUGUCCGGAUUUAUUGGGGGUAAAGCGAGUGCAGGCGG